rnacentral:rRNA from 1 species
UACGUAGGGUGCAAGCGUUGUCCGGAAUUAUUGGGCGUAAAGAGCUCGUAGGCGGUCUGUCGCGUCGGCUGUGAAAUCCCGGAGCUCAACUCCGGGUCUGCAGUCGAUACGGGCAAACUGGAGUACUGCAGGGGAGACUGGAAUUCCUGGUGUAGCGGUGAAAUGCGCAGAUAUCAGGAGGAACACCGGUGGCGAAGGCGGGUCUCUGGGCCAUUACUGACGCUGAGGAGCGAAAGCGUGGGGAGCGAACAGG